CUCCUCUAGCUUAAAAAUAAAGCAUAACUCUGAAGAAGUUAAUAUUAUAAGGAGUA
rnacentral:tRNA from 1 species